GGGCCCGCACAAGCGGUGGAUUAUGUGGAUUAAUUCGAUGCAACGCGAAAAACCUUACCUGGCCUUGACAUGUACCGAAUUUAGCAGAGAUGCUUUAGUGCUCGUAAGAGAACGGUAACACAGGUGCUGCAUGGCUGUCGUCAGCUCGUGUCGUGAGAUGUUGGUUAAGUCCCGCAACGAGCGCAACCCUUGCCAUUAAUUGCCAUCAUUUAGUUGGGCACUUUAAUGGGACUGCCGGUGACAAACCGGAGGAAGGUGGGGAUGACGUCAAGUCCUCAUGGCCCUUACGGGUUGGGCUACACACGUGCUACAAUGGUAGUGACAAUGGGUUAAUCCCAAAAAGCUAU
rnacentral:rRNA from 1 species